CCGCCCAAUGCGCCGCCUACACCGGCUUCGGUGGUGCCACCGGCCAUGGCUGCGCCACUGACCAGGCCAAGGGACAACAAGAGAAUCGAGGAAAGCUUCAUUCAGGUAAACCUCAAGGGGAUGACGGCGCGAUCCUGAGGCCGUAUUGACAUGCUGACAAUAGAAAUCCGACCAGUAACACGAGUUGUACACAAUUCUCUAAGUUACUGUUUUAACUGCGGAACUUAAGUGAUUUUUGCGAGUCAUUAGCUCUUCGGAACGGCCGCUUUUAUGCAAAAGCGGCCUUUUUUUGUGUCCAAAAUGAUCGAUCAGGCCGAGCGCGACAUGAUCAAACCGCUCUCGCUCGCGGCUUCCAGGCGAAUCGCCACGAA
rnacentral:sRNA from 1 species